CUGUAUUACUUAAGUACAUGCCUUGCAUUUCCUGCUGCAGUAAAAUGUUCAGAUCUUAUCCCCUAUGUAUUGUAGACUACUAAGAAAACAGAGAGAGAAAUAAACUGCCUUACUGCUGUAGCAGGAGGUGCAGAGCUCACUCACAACUCUGCAGUAGCACAGCCCUUUUGCAGAAUUGGGAUGUAAGUAAUUUUUGUUUGAUGGCCUUAAUUUUUUGAAAGUAAAAGGGUGUGAAGGAAGGUGAAUGCUGACUGAAAAAAAAAAUUGCAUUCAGCUUCUUUCAGUAUCACUAUUUUAGAUUAAGAAUUUUCAGUAUUGUUACUUAGAUUAACAGAGAGAAUUCUUCAACCCUGCUCCUAUAGGAAAUCUUCAAACUAAAUACUUUCAAAGUGGAAAACAAACUCAAAGAACAAGCAAAAAAUAAUUCAGCUUGAGGCCCAGUCACACAGCGUCAUCUCUAUUCCCUCCAACUUUUGUUGCCUGAUUUUCAUCUUCCUUUUACAGAGAAACGGGCAUUUAUUCACAGGGGUGGGGAAUUGCUUUUCAGAGUGAGAAAUAAGAACUGAAAAGAAACACAGAAGGCAGAUACUGUGAUAUAUCAUUUUCUUCUUUAACUGUUUUCCAGAGUUGUGCUUUUUCUAAAGCACUGGUCUUCUGAAGAAAAUCUGUGCUGCUGUACGGUGGGGCCAGUUCUGCUGGUAGCCUGAGCAUCAACGGGGGAGAACAGAGCUGGCAGACCAGCAGAUGCAUCAAGAGCUAGAGACACACCAAAUAUGUCACUGUAGGCCAUGCAGCACAUAGGGCCCAACUCUGGAAAUGUACACGAGUCACUGGAGAUGCUUCCUAAAGUAGCUAGCCGGCAGAGAAUAGUAAAGGAAGAAUCUUUACAUCCAGGGCCGUGUUUUGAAGAGCUGCAGUUAAUGGUGCUUCCUCCUAAGCAUUCCCAGGAGCUGCGUCUAUGUCUGCUUUGCCCGUUUGCUGCCACAAGCUUUUGCUGCCGUUCCUAUUUACACACAGCAUUAUCCAGGUAACAAGCUUUAAAAGAACUGUCCAUUUCCAGAUACGAAAUCUGAGCCCGCUCUUUUCUUUCCCAGAGUGGUUGAGUAAUGUGGUGUUUGUAAUAGGACGGGACUAAUGAUACCAGCUCUACUUAAUCACCGCAUGCAAGUAAGCACAGUGUGCAUUUCCUCUGCUUUGCUGUGUCAGUAACCAGGAGUCUAGACCAGAAACAUCAUCUGCAGAUCUGUCUUUAAGAUUAAGCCAAGAAAAGUGUGCAGACUGUGGUGAAUCGUGCCCGUUGGCUGGUGGGUUGAGGGUUUAACAACUAACACAAAAACAAGUAUUUUUAUUGAUUAAGUCUGUGCCCAGAGAACGAUGGAGAAGAUCUUCUGAGGUGAAUCAUCGCCACUUAUAGCAGAAACCACAGUUCAGAAUUUCAUGUCUUUAUCUGUUCUUUAUUACAUGUGACUAUAACCAUAGCAAAGCCCCAAUAAAUACCAAGGAAAAAUGAGCA
rnacentral:lncRNA from 1 species